rnacentral:rRNA from 1 species
CCUACGGGUGGCAGCAGUGAGGAAUAUUGGUCAAUGGACGAGAGUCUGAACCAGCCAAGUAGCGUGAAGGAUGACUGCCCUAUGGGUUGUAAACUUCUUUUAUAUGGGAAUAAAAUGUUCCACGUGUGGGAUUUUGUAUGUAACAUAUGAAUAAGGAUCGGCUAACUCCGUGCCAGCAGCCGCGGUAAUACGGAGGCUCCGAGCGUUAUCCGGAUUUAUUGGGUUUAAAGGGAGCGUAGGUGGAUUGUUAAGUCAGUUGUGAAAGUUUGCGGCUCAACCGUAAAAUUGCAGUUGAAACUGGCAGUCUUGAGUGCAGGAGAGGUGUGCGGAAUUCGUGGUGUAGCGGUGAAAUGCUUAGAUAUCACGAAGAACUCCGAUUGCGAAGGCAGUUCACUGGACUGCAACUGACACUGAGGCUCGAAAGUGUGGGUAUCAAACAGGAUUAGAUACCCGUGUAGUC